AAUAUUUGACAAUGGGCGCAAGCCUGAUCCAGCCAGGCCGCGUGAGUGAUGAAGGCUAUAGGGAUGUAAAGCUCUUUCAACGGAGAGGAUAAUUACGGUAACCGUAGAAGAAGACCCGGCUAACUUCGUUCCAGCACCCGCAGUAAUACGAAGGGGGCUAGUGUUGUUCGGAAUUACUGGGCGUAAAGCGCACGUAGGCGGAUUGGUCAGUUAGGGGUGAAAUCCCAGGGCUCAACCCUGGAACUGCCUUUAAUACUGCCGGUCUAGAGUUCGAGAGAGGUGAGUGGAAUUCCGAGUGUAGAGGUGAAAUUCGUAGAUAUUCGGAGGAACACCAGUGGCGAAGGCGGCUCACUGGCUCGAUACUGACGCUGAGGUGCGAAAGCGUGGGGAGCAAACAG
rnacentral:rRNA from 1 species